GGAUAACAUGUUUGCUGCUGCGAUGAUACUAUGUAGCUUCAUUUUCUUAGAUAUAGAGAUAGAUGGAAUACCAUUGUGUCAACAAGCAUUCAUUCAUUAAUGGGACAUGAAAGGCAAAUUAUUUAUAUAUUAACAACUAAAUUAUAUAUUGAUUUUUUUAUUUUAAUGCUACUUUUAUUUUAGAGAGUUUAAGCAUGCAAGAUUUGCUCGUCUAUUACUUUUGCAUUAAAAUUUU
rnacentral:misc_RNA from 1 species